UGUAUGCCAGUAUGUCUGUGUGUGUGUGUGUGUCAGUAUGUCUGUGUGUAUGCCAGUAUGUCUGUGUGUGUGUAUGUAGGUAUGUCUCUGUGUGUGUGUGUACGUGUGUGUCAGUAUGUCUGCCAGGAUAUAUUUGUGUGUCAGUGUAUGUGUGUGUCAGUAUGUAUCUGUGAAUGUUUUAAUGUCUGUCUGUGUGUAUGUGCCAGUCUGUCUGUGUGUGUGUGUCAGCAUGUCUUUGUGU